GCCGGGAGUUGUAGUUCUGUGAGGCGGGAGAGGCUGCGGGAAGAACCAGCUGGGCUCAACCUCCUGCCAGAGAGGCCAGCGCGAGUCUUACACUUCCUCUCUUUGUCAGGCCCGAGGAGCCGGGUGCCUGAGUGCAGCGUGGCCCGCGGUCCAGGCAUCCUGCAACGGGAACAUUUUUUUCUUACAGAUUAGGAGAUUGUAAGUAUCCUUUAAGGAGAUGGUGGUGACCAAAAAGUUAUUUCAUCUGGGAGAGGACUAACAAAAUCUGAGGGGGUGGUGAUGGUGGAAGCAGACAGUCCCUCACUUUGAAGCUGAAACUGGCCUCUAAUUCAUAGGCAGGAACUGAGUCUCAGCUUCCCAAGUCCUAGGAUUACACCUUUCUCCAAUUCAUAGAAUCUUUAUUCUUUUUUAAAGAUUUAUUAAUGCAGUGUGUGUGUGUGUAACUGUACCUCCUGGGUACAGGUGACCGGAGAGUAUCACACACAUCCCAGCCUCCUAUGUAUUGUUGGGAAGCAAACCCAGGUACACUGCAAGAAUAACAAGUGCUCCUACCCCCUUAGCCAUCACUCAGCAGGUGCCUUCAUCCUCAAGUUGCACACUUGCAAGUCUGCCCCCCCCCCAUUUUCGCCAUGUUCUGAGCCCUCCUUUUGUCUACCACUACAGCCAACACCGCAGCCUCACAGUACCUUGUAAGAAGCAAAAAGGGCCAUUUUGUAAACACCCACGUACCUGUUCAGCCUUAGCCACAGGCUCUGAAUGUGGGGAGAAUGAAAUGUCUGUCUGUGCCGUGACUCGGGACCACAUUUUCCUCCUCUCACUGCCUAGAGCCGCUCAACUGUGAAGCAGACAGCCGCUGCUUAUUAAACCUCAGCGAGUGAGCAUGGCUCUGUGCCCCCUGCAGCUGCAGCUUGGCCCCGCCCCAACCUUCUCUUGACACUUGACUCCUUCCCGUCUCAGUGGCAAGCAUAGUAGCGCCAACCACAUCAGGGCAGCCUGGUUGGAACUCUGGAAGUGCUUGUCUUUAGAAGGUCUUAUAUCUCGAGGUGUUUACCAGCAGCAGCUAGAAGUGCCCCCAGACAAGUGAGAGCCCCAGGUGGCUCCCUCUAGUGUUAACAGCUCUUACCCAGGCCUCGGUAAUAGGACCCUUAGCUACAGGAUCCUGUUAUACAGUUACACAUGAAGCUCUUACAUACACCUAGAUAACAGGACCCUUCGCUCCACAAUGUUACAGCUCUUACUAGGCACGGUAAGGCAGGGUUCCCCAGCGUUCCCCAGCCUUGACCCCAGCCGGUAUUCCCGCUCCUGAACCUAGGGAGUCUGAGACCCUUGGCCCUCAAGUUCCGGCAGCUCCCGAAAUCUUCAGUAACCAGGUCCUACAGUUCUCUUUUCAGGCUUGCUUUCUCCAGCCUUGCUCCCGACUCUCUACUUUUGUCAUCCUCGUUCCUGUGCUGGCCAUGGCCAUGCUCUCCAACUGCCAAGCGGCUGGCUGUCUUGCUGCUUUUGCUGCUCAGCCUUCUGACCGAUCAGCUUCGGUUGUUGUUGCUGCUGUCUUGUCUCCAAGGCUGCUGGCUUCCUGUUUCCUGCUCAGCCUGCACCUCUAAAAGCAGGCAAUACAAGACCACUAAGGAAAGCUUCUUAUUGGGGGUAAUGUUGGGACACCAAGGGAGAGGCAGCCUCUCCCUGAGUGAGCUAAGCAGUUUGUUUAUAUAGUCAGAGAAGGGGUGUCAAACCAAUCACAGAAAACUUCACAAGCAAAGGAAGGUUUGUGUUUUUACCAAUCAUGCAUACCCCUGCUGGGCCACCAGGUGGGAGUGCCCUUCAUCUGGCCUAACUUGAAAUGGUUGUGGGUUACCUAGGGUUCGCAAGGCUUGUGAUAUAGCAAGUAGUCUGUUAUGAACUGUGUGAAACAACUCUGGCUGAGGUGGCAACUUCAAGAGCCAAAGCAGUGGGUUGCAAUAGCUGGAUAGUUUUCUAAGGCUCUUGGGCAGUGUUCAGAAUGGCUGGUGCAGCCAUAAGAUAGUCAGCUGACUAUCUAACUGACAGUCUUUCUGCCUAAGACAGCCAGGACAGCCCAAUCAGGGCUGGUUAUGGCAUCCAAUUGCCCUACCCCUACCCCAUAAAUGCCUUUGUUUAUCUGUCAGAAAUAAUCAUCAGAAGGAAUACUUAAGAACAUAACAGAUCUUUGAUAAAAGCUUAACCAUUCUCAACACCUGCCCAGUGUCACACCCCGCCCUAGGUCCUCUGCUCUUACAUCUAUUAAAUGGGCCAGUGUAUAGACAAUACACAUUUGAUCAUAGCCAAAGCCUGAGAAGCAGCUAUAGACAGUUUGUAUAGCACCUAAGACAGUGUAGGUGCUCAACAAAUGUUGGUUAAGUUUAUUAAUAGAAUACUAGCUCAGCCAUCUCACUUAAUUAGAGCUCACUGUGCUGGUUAGUUUUGUGUUAACUUGACACAAGCUGGAGUCAUUUUGGAGGAGGGAACUUCAAAUGAAAACCUUGUCCCACCAGACUGGCCUGGGAUGCAUUUUCUUGACUGAUGAUAGAUGGGGGAGGGCCCAGUUCAUUUGGGCAGUGCUACCCUGGGUUGGUGGUCCUGGGUUGUCUGAGAAAGCAAGCCAGUAAGCAUUGUUCUCCCAUGACCUCUGCUUCAGCUCCUGCCCCGACUUCCCUGAAUGAAGGAUUUAAAAGCUGUAAGGUGAAAUAAACCCCUUUCUCCCCAA